GCCGAGGUGGUGGAAUUGGUAGACACGCUAUCUUGAGGGGGUAGUGCCUAUAUGGGCGUGCGGGUUCAAGUCCCGCUCUCGGCACCA
rnacentral:tRNA from 1 species